AAAUUGAAGAGUUUGAUCAUGGCUCAGAUUGAACGCUGGCGGCAGGCCUAACACAUGCAAGUCGAACGGUAGCACAGAGAGCUUGCUCUCGGGUGACGAGUGGCGGACGGGUGAGUAAUGUCUGGGAAACUGCCUGAUGGAGGGGGAUAACUACUGGAAACGGUGGCUAAU
rnacentral:rRNA from 3 species